rnacentral:rRNA from 1 species
UAAAAAGUCGUAACAAGGUUUCCGUAGGUGAACCUGCGGAAGGAUCAUUGACAUAGACCCACGAACGACCGCGAACUGUUGAAACCUUGCAAUAUGUCCGGGCGUCGCCUGUAGAGGGUGGGAGCUCCUCUCGCCUUCUCGGGCGCUCGCCCAAUCAGAUCGGCGCGGCAUGCGCCAAGGAACACGUAAUCGUAAAAGGAGCGCGAGAGUCUUUGAAGGACUAUCGCGAUCCGAAGAGAUCCACAUACGACUCUCGGCAACGGAUAUCUUGGCUCUCGCAUCGAUGAAGAACGUAGCAAAAUGCGAUACUUGGUGUGAAUUGCAGAAUCCCGUGAACCAUCGAGUCUUUGAACGCAAGUUGCGCCCGAGGCUUCGGUCGAGGGCACGCCUGCCUGAGCGUCAUGCAUUGCGUCGCUCCCCCCAUCCCCUUUUCUUCUAUGGAAGGGGGAUAGAGAGGGGAUGCGGAGGCUGGUCGCCCGUUCCGUCUCCUUGCUGGAGCGGCCGACUGAAAUGAAGUUGGGGCACCCGGCAUCCCGCGGCCCGACGAUUGUUGGACCCUCGAACCCGUUGUACAUUGGCGGCGUCGAGGCUUGCGCGCAUCCGUGUGUUGUCCCCGCGUUGGACGAACCCUCUCUCUUGAUCGGGGCUCAUGGGCUUCGCAUCAAGAUUGCGACCUCAGGUCAGACGGGACUACCCGCUGAGUUUAAGCAUAUCAAUAAGCGGAAGAA